CGGCCACAUUGGGACUGAGAUACGGCCCAGACUCCUACGGGAGGCAGCAGUGGGGAAUAUUGCACAAUGGGCGCAAGCCUGAUGCAGCGACGCCGCGUGGGGGAUGAAGGCCUUCGGGUUGUAAACUCCUUUCGCUAGGGACGAAGCUUUGUGUGACGGUACCUAGAUAAGAAGCACCGGCUAACUACGUGCCAGCAGCCGCGGUAAUACGUAGGGUGCGAGCGUUGUCCGGAAUUACUGGGCGUAAAGGGCUCGUAGGUGGUUUGUCGCGUCGUCUGUGAAAUUCCGGGGCUUAACUCCGGGCGUGCAGGCGAUACGGGCAUAACUUGAGUACUGUAGGGGUAACUGGAAUUCCUGGUGUAGCGGUGAAAUGCGCAGAUAUCAGGAGGAACACCGAUGGCGAAGGCAGGUUACUGGGCAGUUACUGACGCUGAGGAGCGAAAGCAUGGGUAGCGAACAGGAUUAGAUACCCUGGUAGUCCAUGCCGUAAACGGUGGGCGCUAGGUGUGGGGUUCCUUCCACGGGCUCCGCGCCGUAGCUAACGCAUUAAGCGCCCCGCCUGGGGAGUACGGCCGCAAGGCUAAAACUCAAAGGAAUUGACGGGGGCCCGCACAAGCGGCGGAGCAUGUGGAUUAAUUCGAUGCAACGCGAAGAACCUUACCUGGGCUUGACAUAUAGAGGAUCGCUACAGAGAUGUGGUUUCCCUUGUGGCUUCUAUACAGGUGGUGCAUGGUUGUCGUCAGCUCGUGUCGUGAGAUGUUGGGUUAAGUCCCGCAACGAGCGCAACCCUUGUCUUAUGUUGCCAGCAUUUGGUUGGGGACUCAUGAGAGACUGCCGGGGUCAACUCGGAGGAAGGUGGGGAUGACGUCAAAUCAUCAUGCCCCUUAUGUCCAGGGCUUCACACAUGCUACAAUGGUCGGUACAACGCGCAGCGACACUGUGAGGUGGAGCGAAUCGCUGAAAGCCGGCCUUAGUUCGGAUUGGGGUCUGCAACUCGACCCCAUGAAGUCGGAGUCGCUAGUAAUCGCAGAUCAGCAACGCUGCGGUGAAUACGUUCCCGGGCCUUGUACACACCGCCCGUCACGUCAUGAAAGUUGGUAACACCCGAAGCCGGUGGCCUAA
rnacentral:rRNA from 1 species